GUGUCAGCAGCCGCGGUAAAACGUAGGUGACAAGCGUUAUCCGGAUUUACUGGGCGUAAAGCGCGUUCAGGCGGUUUGGCAAGUCGGGCAUGAAAUCUCCUGGCUCAACCAGGAGGCGCUGUCCGAUACUUCCAGACUUGAGGGCAGUAGAGGGUGGUGGAAUUCCGGGUGUAGUGGUGAAAUGCGUAGAUAUCCGGAGGAACACCUGUGGCGAAAGCGGCCACCUGGACUGCUCCUGACGCUGAAACGCGAAAGCUAGGGUAGCGAACGGGAUUAGAAACCCCGGUAGUCC
rnacentral:rRNA from 1 species